rnacentral:rRNA from 1 species
AUUGAACGCUGGCGGCAUGCCUUACACAUGCAAGUCGAACGGUAACAGGUCUUCGGAUGCUGACGAGUGGCGAACGGGUGAGUAAUACAUCGGAACGUGCCCGACCGUGGGGGAUAACGGAGCGAAAGCUUUGCUAAUACCGCAUACGAUCUACGGAUGAAAGCAGGGGACCGUAAGGCCUCGCGCGAUUGGAGCGGCCGAUGUCAGAUUAGGUAGUUGGUGGGGUAAAGGCUCACCAAGCCAACGAUCUGUAGCUGGUCUGAGAGGACGACCAGCCACACUGGGACUGAGACACGGCCCAGACUCCUACGGGAGGCAGCAGUGGGGAAUUUUGGACAAUGGGCGCAAGCCUGAUCCAGCAAUGCCGCGUGCAGGAAGAAGGCCUUCGGGUUGUAAACUGCUUUUGUACGGAACGAAACGGUCCGGGUUAAUACCCUGGGCUAAUGACGGUACCGUAAGAAUAAGCACCGGCUAACUACGUGCCAGCCGCCGCGGUAAUAC